rnacentral:rRNA from 1 species
UACCUUUUGUAUAAUGGGUCAGCGACUUAUAUUCUGUAGCAAGGUUAACCGAAUAGGGGAGCCGAAGGGAAACCGAGUCUUAACUGGGCGUUAAGUUGCAGGGUAUAGACCCGAAACCCGGUGAUCUAGCCAUGGGCAGGUUGAAGGUUGGGUAACACUAACUGGAGGACCGAACCGACUAAUGUUGAAAAAUUAGCGGAUGACUUGUGGCUGGGGGUGAAAGGCCAAUCAAACCGGGAGAUAGCUGGUUCUCCCCGAAAGCU